GCGGAUGUGGCGGAAUGGCAGACGCGCCAGACUUAGGAUCUGGUGUCCUCGACGUGGGGGUUCAAGUCCCUUCAUCCGCACCA
rnacentral:tRNA from 1 species